UUUAAAGGGGGGAAACCCUACCCACCUUUGACAUGGCAGGAACUUACCAGAGAUGGUUUGGUGCUCGAAAGAGAACCUGCACACAGGUGCUGCAUGGCUGUCGUCAGCUCGUGUCGUGAGAUGUUGGGUUAAGUCCCGCAACGAGCGCAACCCUUGCCAUUAGUUGCUACAUUCAGUUGAGCACUCUAAUGGGACUGCCGGUGACAAACCGGAGGAAGGUGGGGAUGACGUCAAGUCCUCAUGGCCCUUAUAGGUGGGGCUACACACGUCAUACAAUGGCUGGUACAAAGGGUUGCCAACCCGCGAGGGGGAGCUAAUCCCAUAAAGCCAGUCGUAGUCCGGAUCGCAGUCUGCAACUCGACUGCGUGAAGUCGGAAUCGCUAGUAAUCGUGUAUCAGUAAUUUCUCCCAUG
rnacentral:rRNA from 1 species